rnacentral:lncRNA from 1 species
GCGGUCUCCGCGCGGCCGGAAGCCCACGCGGGCGGUGGUGGGGAGGGGCCGCGCGGGCCUGGGGAGGGGCAGCCCUCGGGGAGGUGGAAGCAGGGUCGGUGCACGGCGCUCCUUUGGGAACCCAGCCUGCUGCCUGACCGGAAAAGACCCCCGAGGACCACCUCCUCCUUCCCUCUGAGAGCAGAAAGGAAAAGGCUGCAGGCCUCCUCACCCCAGGUGUGGCCGGGCGCCCAGGAUCGCAAGGUAUUUGAGCUAGCUGGUAGGAAAGUAUGAAGUGCAUCCAGGAUUUUGUAGAAAGCAUCUGGCAGCCCUACUUCUGUCUGACAAAGAAAACAGCAGCGCCGGCUGACAGGUGUUCCCUUUACGCUGUGGCUGCCAGGAAACUUGGAGUGAGGUUCAGCGCCCAGUGGUGUCAGCCGGCUGAUCUCAAGCCCUGGUCGGGCUUCAGUCCUCUGGUGUUUAUCCAAUUGUCAGUUUUCAAAUUAUGUUUCCAAGCCAUUUAGCACCUCUGGAGGUCAAAGCACUGUCUGCGAAGAGAAAUACACACGUGGCAAAGCCUCUGCCUAUCAAUCUGGAGGGAAACGCAAACACGCUGGGACCUGCCAGCCAGCCUGAUGGGAGCAGCAGCACCUGGGUGUGUGGACGCUUUCGUGAACACAGGAGGACAUCCCGGGAGGUAUCAGGGCAAAAAAGGCUACCAAAAUAAUAGAGUCAGUUUUCCUCCUGCCUCUGCAGCCUUGGGUGAAUGUGUAUGUGAAACACAGAUCACCGCUAAUGUGUCCCCAGUUCAGAUUUCUGCAUCUGCAAGUUCAGAAUUAUGGUGAUUUUGACAAGGAUGAAAACCACACUCCAAG